AGGGUUCCUGAGCAAAAGAGAAAAGGAGGUUUGACCAUGAGGCUUGGAGAAGGGAGAAGGGCUGGGGAGUACGGCAAGCAUCAAGGAAAUAUACUACUUUGGUUUUUAUGAAUAAUGAGCUAUUUUAAAUAUUAUUUAUUACUUUUUAGUCUUAGAGUAAUUUUUUUCUAGUGAGGAAUUUUGAAUGCAAGAUAAAGGAAGAGGGAUUUAUGAAGAGCUUGGUAUACUCAAAUUGAAAUCAUCUGGAUCUUGUUUAUAACAAAAUGACUGAAUUGUUCUAUACUUUGGUGCCUUAAUUUUCCUUUCAACAUCUCAACUUAUUAGUAAUAUAUGUAGAGCCUUUAGAGUUAAAUAGAGAAAAUCUCAACUUUAAGAUCUUAUUUUUACAGUACAAUUGAUCAAAUUAGGCAAAUAACUUAAAAUAUGUUGAAGAUUAGAUUCUUCACGGUCCUAUGGCAAGUGAAGGGCUUUCAGACAUCAUGUCAAAGUGUGAUUGAUUUUUAUUACUAUCUCAUUACUACUAAUACUAUUAGUAACAACAUUUAAAAAAAAUUCAUUGAUAUAGCUCAAGAAUGAGUUGUUUACUGAGAGAAAAUCAAGACUGUUUUGGGGGUUCUUCCCUAAUUUUUCAAAGCAGUCACUAUCCUGACUUCCCACAAUACAUUCCAUGGAGCUGUUUCCUGAGACAGAAGUCUGCAACCGCUGGUCUGAUACAUGGCAUUUGUUGAACUACUUAUGUCAAAACAUUAUAUUUUCCUUUUCUUCAAGCUCGCUCUUUAUUUUACACUACAGUUUAUUUCACAUUGCAUUUUAUUUUAUACUGACCCUAGCCUAUUUGUGGCAGUGUAUGAAAUGUUGGUUUUUUAUUCUACAGGUCAUUUCUGGCUCUGUGGUUUUAGACUCAUCAUUGUUUACUGAGCUUUUAUUGUCACUAGAGACAGCUUUGCUUUUUUUAAAUUUUUUUGCAUUUUAAUAAAGUUUCCAAUCCUCUUGGACCCUCUCCCCUGAAGCAGCUCCAGCUCCCCAGGGCUGCUGAAGAGUUGAGCAGAGAAAGUAGAAGCUUUUGUGGACAGUGAUGCCGAUGGCAGAUAACUCCAGCUGUCAUUACAAGAUCAUCCAGAUAAGGAGGGGACAAUCAAGUAGGGCUUACAGUCCACUUGAGUUUUUCUGAUUGUAAAACCUGCCAUUUUUCAAUUUAAAUAAUUUAAGGAUUCCAGCUUCUCUAUACUCUAAGGCUCAUUUAGCCUCUUAUUAGCUAACUGUUUCUCCAGUUCAAGAGGUGGAAGGGAAGAGUGCAGAUUUUUUGUUAUUGUUAAUUCACAGCAGUGGGUAGUGGUGGGUAAAUAAAAAAUAAGCCAAACAAAUUUGAUGAGAAGAGAGAAUACAAAUCCAUACAAGUAAUCAUAAUUGAUUUUAAAAAGUUAAUUAAAAGGAAUAAUAAGGGACAGAUACUGCAAUGGCCUAGCAUAUUAUCAGUAGGCAAAUGACAGGAGAAUGAAUUAGAAAAUUGAUUCUCACCUAACUAAAAGAAGAAGACAGGCUAAUACAGCUCUUAAUUUUAACUUGAAAAAUCCAAAAUUCUUUUCUAAACCCUUUCCUUGUAUUCUGACAAAGAUAUUAUGUCACAUUAUUCCCAUUGAAGGAAAUGCUGAGAGGAACAGGAGGGCAAUAACAAAAUGAAGCUGUAAUUUCCCAGAGGAUUCAGCUCAGAACUGACUUACAGAAUCACCUGUGACAAAUCAAUGACAACAAAAUAGCUAAGAAACCAUAGUUUGCAUAAGGUCUUCCUUUUUUCUCUUAGUUGUUAAGACUCUUUUUUCCUUUAAAAUUUUGUAGCCUUUUCUUCUUCUUAAAUCUCUGUGACCAAAGGCUGAUAACCUACAGUAUAUUUUUCUCCAAGUAGUAUAUACAAGAGCUGCCCCUCAAGGCAUUUACUCCCACACAAGAAAGGACAAGAAGAGCCUCGCCAGUAAGAAGGUGAGGCUCUUCUUGGACCUUUCAGGAGCAUCUUUUUGUGGGACUAUGUCUAAUAUUUUUGGGCUGGUUUUCUUGGAGAACUGUGCACGCUAGCUAUGCCCAUGGGCCUCUUCUUUCCUUUGCUUAGGAGACACUUGCUCAGAUGCAGACAGAUUACCUGGCAUAAAGGUCAGAGCCUGAGUGAGAAGGUUGGUUAGUUAAUUAGAUAAAAUAUUUCCUGACAGAGAUAGGAUCCAUAGUUACCACCAAGAGUUGAAUCUGAUUGAAACUCUUUAAAUUGUUAGAAAGACAAUUUUGACAUGCACACUGUUGAGCAAACAAAGUCUUCAGCUGACACUUGAAUCUUCUUACGUAGAAGGUAACAUGGUAACAUCAGUAGCUAAGGAGUUACAGCAGGAAGAAAGACCAGGAAACAUUGUGUUAGGUUUUCUUUCCCUCCCUCCUCUUCCUUCCUUCCAUCUUUCCUCCUUGCUUUUUCCCCCUUCCUUUCCUUUCUAAUCUCCUUCUUUCUAAAUAAUGGAAACCCAUCUUUGAAUUACUAAAUGAUAGAUCUAAUUGUUGUUACGUAAGUAGGCCUCAAGAAAAUAUGGCAUAUCUUUAUUCAAAGAACGUAUUUUAAAUUUCUGGACUGAUGUUCUGCUUUUUUUUUCUUUCCCUUUUAUCUCAUUUUUGAAUUAGAGAAAAUAAAACAAGCAUAGGCAAAUAAGCUAUGAGUGCCAGAGAUAGGUAAAAUUGCUCCUGCUUCCUUUAUUUUCUUUCCUUUUCUUUUUUCUUUCUUUCUUUUUCCUCUCUCCCUCUCUCUUUGUGAUUUUUUUCCCCUGGACGUUAAGCUCUAUAAGAUAAGAUUGAUUUACUCAUUACUGUAUUUCCUAGCAUUUAGCACUGUCCGUAAAUAUCUGCUGGGUGAUUGAAUUAAUGGAUGUCCAUUAAUAUCCACAAAAUGAGGAUGAAGGAUUGGUAAAUUCAGAACCAUUUAACAUAAAUAACUUAAAUAGUACCUUACAGAUCUUUUUUUUUUAAUGUGCAAAAGUGCUGUUAGAGGAAAGUUUCCCAAAAUGUAUUCAAUAAAACAUUAGCCCUGAAGAAUAAAAAUAGAUUUUUUAUGUGAAAUAGGUGAGGAAAGUCUAUGGAAAAAUUGUUUAGGAAACUCUAGUAUACAUAGUUCAAAGAGAUCUUUCCAAUAUGAUUUCUCAGAGUUUUUAAAAUACAAGUCUAUAAAUUUCUUAUAAAGGGACAUAACAUGCUAUAUUUCCAAAGAUUAUUUGACCAUGUCACUCUUUUACUUUGCACAUCUUAUAGGAAUAGUUUCCAUAAAACAUGUUUCCAUAAUACAUGCUUUGAGAAAAGUAGCAUCUUAAUUCAGCUUUACUUUCUUUAAUUCUUUUUCUUUUGAAUUUGUCUUAAUUAAUUAAUUUUUCCCACCAUGCAAGAUACCCCCAGGUACAAAAAUGUGAAUAUAGUUAAGUAUUGAACUUUACACUUAAAAAAAUGGUUUAGAUGUGUUUUUUUCAACCACAAUUGAAAAUUUAAAAAUACAAAAUAUUACUAAGUAAUAAAUGAAUCAAUAUUUUACAUAAAGUCUACAGUAAUGCACCAAAUUUAAUGUAUUGCCAAAUAGAGGGCUUGAUUUUGGUCUGCAACAUUUUACUCAAUUGCAUUACCUACCUUGAUAUUGUAUCCUCAGUAAAUAUCUUGAUUUUGAACACUGGGCUAUAGAUAUCUUAGUGUGUGUUUUUAGUAAUGCUGUUUAGGAUGACAAUACAAAAAGACCCCAUAACUGUGUAGGAAAAGUUUAUUGCAGUUUAGUAGGUUUAAGACUAAGGGACAAGUGGUUGGUUGUCACUGAUUCAGAGUGCCACUUUAAGUAAACUCUGCUUUCCUUAUCUGUAAGAGAGGCUCAGUCAAUAGUAUUUUACUUUUUCCCUCCAUCAUGGGAUUCCAAUUUUACGUGGGGCUCUAAUAGACACAGCAGAUAAAGGCAGGAGGUAAGAGGCCAAUUGGUCUCCCUUCCCCCACAGCCCUAAGUAGCCCCAAAGAGCCUAAGAGCUCAAGGGAACACAGUUUGAAAAUCAUGAGACUGGAUAAUCUUUAGAGUUUUUCCCAAGCCUUACUCCUGCCACUAGGAGUAAGGCUGAGGUAGAAAAGAAUGUUUAUAUCCAUAUUAAAGCCUGUAAUAUUAUACAGACCCACAAAGCAUUCAGAUAUAAUGGAACAUAGAAUACUGCCAUACCACAUGUGGCAAGCACCUUUGGAAUUUCAACAUAUAUUUUAGAUUAAAAAAUAAAACUAUUAUCAGAAUGUACUCUUCCUUCAGUCCUUUAUAGAUACAUUUCAAGAUAUAGACUCGGUGGUGAAUUAAAAUUGAAUGCAAAUAUUGUCACUGAAACGUUGCCCAUUUAUAUGGUUUUCUAAGACUCUUCUCGUUUUUAAUGGGCAAGGUUUUGCUGAAAACAAAAAAUGUUAAUUACAUAAAUAUGCGUAUUCUUUUCAAAGCAUUACACUAUAUUAUGGUUAAAAAAACAAUAGAGAAAUAAACACAAAACUUUCAACAGAAAUACUGCUUCUUGAACAGCUUUUAAAAGUAUGACAUGUUUACUGGGAAAAUGCAUUACUCAUGACAGGGUUACAAAAGCAAUAUUAACCUUCUUGAAAUUUAAUAGCAAAAUUCAGACAUGUAGAAAUAAGUACCAGACAUGGUAACAUAACUACUUUUGUUAAGAUUGUAUGUAGGAUAAAACAGAUAUUUAAAGCUACAUUAAGAUGUGGGUAAAUAAAUGAUCCUUUAAAAGAUUCACAGCACAUAUGCAUCAUGACUAAAAUCAUGAUGCAGAUUGUGCUAGAAUAGCAUUCUUGGAAAUGGAAAACCUUGUGCUUUCUUUUGCUUCUGUUAUUUUGGGCACUGUUGCUUUUGCAGUUUUGCACAGAGUGUCAGACAUUAAAUUUGCCCUUAGAU
rnacentral:lncRNA from 1 species